rnacentral:RNase_P_RNA from 1 species
AUAAGCAGGUCUCUUAUCGCUGCUCAUCAUAGAUGAGGAGAGGAAAGUCCGGACACCAUAGAGCAGUAUAGCGGGUAACGCCCGUCGUUCGCCCAGGCGAAUAGGACAAGUGCAGCAGAAAGUAUGUACAGGUAAUGCUGUAGUGAAACCAGGUAAACUCUAUACGGUGCAACGCCAAGUAUAUUUACGUUUGAGAGCUGCUCGCUCGAUGUAAAAGGGUAGGCGGUUCGAGCUUUUGAGUAAUCAAAAGCCUAGAUAAAUGAUAAGACUCGACAGAAUCCGGCUUAUGGCCUGCUUUUUUAU